ensembl:snoRNA
CUAGAAUUAACUAUUAAUACUGUUUUAUUUUCUUUUCAUCUUUUUUCCAUUUUUUUCACAAUACUACACAGUUCUGCACUUCCAUCUUUAAAAUUUGCCUUACAUCAUGAAAUUUUUCUCAGUAUAAAAUACUCCUGAAACAUGGCUUUACUGGACUUGCCUCAGUUUCUGCAGCUUCCUCCUGUUCCUGGCAGCUGCCUGCAGGGAAUUUCACAGGUAGGGACCAAAAUAGGGCCAGGCACAAGCCUCCUGAAUGCAAUCUUGGAUCUGACA